rnacentral:rRNA from 1 species
GAUGAACGCUAGCGGGAGGCUUAACACAUGCAAGUCGUGGGGCAGCACGGGGUAGCAAUACUCUGGUGGCGACCGGCGCACGGGUGAGUAACGCGUAUGCAACCUACCCAGUACAGGGGGAUAGCCCGGAGAAAUUCGGAUUAAUACCCCAUAAUGAUAUUAAGAGGCAUCUUUUAAUAUUUAAAGCUUCGGCGGUACUGGAUGGGCAUGCGUAAGAUUAGCUAGUUGGUAGGGUAACGGCCUACCAAGGCUCCGAUCUUUAGGGGUCCUGAGAGGGUGAUCCCCCACACUGGUACUGAGGCACGGACCAGACUCCUACGGGAGGCAGCAGUGAGGAAUAUUGGUCAAUGGGCGCAAGCCUGAACCAGCCAUCCCGCGUGAAGGAAGAAGGCGCUAUGCGUUGUAAACUUCUUUUCCGGAGGAAUAAAAUCUUGUACGCGUACAGGACUGAAGGUACUCCAGGAAUAAGCAUCGGCUAACUCCGUGCCAGCCGCCGCCGUAAAAC